AAAUUGAAGAGUUUGAUCAUGGCUCAGAUUGAACGCUGGCGGCAGGCCUAACACAUGCAAGUCGAGCGGAAACGAGCUAACUGAACCUUCGGGGAACGUUAACGGCGUCGAGCGGCGGACGGGUGAGUAAUGCCUAGGAAAUUGCCCUGAUGUGGGGGAUAACCAUUGGAAACGAUGGCUAAUACCGCAUAAUGCCUUCGGGCCAAAGAGGGGGACCUUCGGGCCUCUCGCGUCAGGAUAUGCCUAGGUGGGA
rnacentral:rRNA from 1 species